UACAGAGGUCCCAAGCGUUGUUCGGAUUCACUGGGCGUAAAGGGUGCGUAGGCGGGUCUUUAAGUCAGGGGGGAAAUCCUGGAGCUCAACUCCAGAACUGCCUUUGAUACUGAAGAUCUUGAGUCCGGGAGAGGUGAGUGGAAUUCCUAGUGUAGAGGUGAAAUUCGUAGAUAUUAGGAAGAACACCAGUGGCGAAGGCGGCUCACUGGCCCGGUACUGACGCUGAGGCGCGAAAGCGUGGGGAGCAAACAGG
rnacentral:rRNA from 1 species